GACGAACGCUGGCGGCGUGCCUAAUACAUGCAAGUAGAACGCUGAAGGAGGAGCUUGCUCUUCUGGAUGAGUUGCGAACGGGUGAGUAACGCGUAGGUAACCUGCCUGGUAGCGGGGGAUAACUAUUGGAAACGAUAGCUAAUACCGCAUAACAGUAGAUGUUGCAUGACAUUUGCUUAAAAGGUGCAAUUGCACCACUACUAGAUGGACCUGCGUUGUAUUAGCUAGUUGGUGGGGUAACGGCUCACCAAGGCGACGAUACAUAGCCGACCUGAGAGGGUGGUCGGCCACACUGGGACUGAGACACGGCCCAGACUCCUACGGGAGGCAGCAGGAGGGAAUCUUCGGCAAUGGACGGAAGGCUGACCGAGCAACGCCGCGUGAGUGAAGAAGGUUUUCGGAUCGUAAAGCUCUGUUGUAAGAGAAGAACGAGUGUGAGAGUGGAAAGUUCACGCUGUGACGGUAUCUUACCAGAAAGGGACGGCUAACUACGUG
rnacentral:rRNA from 1 species